GUGGCCUGUCCGGUCAAUCUCAUUUCAGCAGUUCUCUCCCUCUCUAAAAGUGGAGGGUGCUUCCUCCGGCUUAUCAUUUUCUCAGUUCUCUCUCUCUCUCUCUCUCUCUAUCCAAUGGUUCACGAUGAAGAUGAUUUUGUUUCACUAUAAAAAUCGCCGAUCGUUAUAGAAAUACUUCGUCUCUGAGUGUUAAAUCCAUAUUUCCCGUAGGUUUCCAGUCUUCACCGAUUUUAUGUCAUAUGUGUCAAAACCAGUGAACAUUAUCCUUCGUCGGAAUACGACCGUAGAGAGAGAUCGGAGCUUAACUAUGAUUAUACAGGUCAGGUGAAGUGCAUGUUAAAUUUGUGCAAAUCUACACGGUUGCUUACAGAUUAGUUGACAAUUUCUACCUAAUUCGGUGAGGAUUUCUAACCGUAACAUCUUUACUGUUUCAGAUCUAAGUAUGAUAUAUUUAGGAUUUAUCUAUCUAUGUUGUUUAACUGAUACGGUGAACCCUAACAGUUAAGGGUUCGUUUAACUACUAAGUCCAAUUAAAGUGUAGAUCUGAUGAAAUCAUUCAUUGGAAAACACAUGCAUCUGGAUUUUGAAAAAAAAAAAUUGUAUUCUAAUGUUAGUAUCUGCAUUAGCUUAGUGGACUCGCGGUUGCGAAGUUUCUUUUUGUUUUUAAUUUUUUCUUUCAAUAUGUUAUUUUCAUAUUUAUUUUAAAAACAGACUUUAUAUUUAACAACGACGUCUAGUCUUGUGUUAAUAUAUGUCAGGACUAUGUUGGGAUCCAGAAAAAGUGAUGCGAUUUGCUACAGAGAUAAGUUUUUCCAAUCUUAUUCCUCUGUUUUCUGGAAAUUUUGAAAUUGUUUUAAAUCCAGACUGUUUUUCAUGCUAAUAUGGCUAUAUAUCUAAGAGUGAUUUCAAGCAUUAGUGGUGUAAUAAUCAUAUUAGUAGAUAGAUUUACCUUUGUUUUGGCUUAGAUGCUUCCUCUUCAACCCAGUAGUGAUUGAAAAUGUAAUUUUCGUCAUGUUGUCUUCAGAAAAUGCUUAUACUAACUAUAUUCGUGGAUAGGUGGUGUUGAAAAUGUUUUCUUAAAAUCUAUGUACUCCCUUUUAUAGAUGUUAAAUAAUAAUUUCAGAUUGAAAGAGAAACGUCGCCAUUUCUUGAAAACUGGUCAUUAUUAUACAUUUUGGAAUACUAUGAAUUUUAUGUGUGCUACUUAAUGCAAAAUUUGGGAAAAAGUCUUAUUUUGUGUUCACAUUAUCAUAAUUCCUGAUUCCAACAAAUUUGAUUGCGACUCAUCAAGCAUGUCAUAUCUCGAGCUUGGGAAUGUGCUUCCCACUAUAGUUGCUAUGGGAUUGUGUCUACACUUAAACAAAAACUGUACCGGAAUAUCGAUCUCAAAUGAACAGCUGUAUACAACCCUUGCAAUCACAUCUCCGAUGUCUGCAAUCCAUUUUUAAAAUCAAUCAAUCGUUUGUCUAUAUUCAUCUGAAGCUAAGGUCCAUAGUCUCAAGUUCUUGGUGAGCCUUAAUACCUUGCAAUUUGUCCACAGGUAUGAAUAAUUAAUAUUUGCUCCGACAACUACUGGUCUUGUUACUUUUGGAAUAACGGGCAAGAUCUGUUUAAAAACGCCGCUCAAAACUAUUGUUUCCACCAAAAGUCUUUUCAGCACUACCAGUACUUGGAAGGAGGAAUCUGGGAAAGCUGCUUUUUGGAAUUGAUUGAUGAUUGAUUGAUUUUGGACGGUUGUAUUUAUGGAUAGUCUUUUUGGUUUUCGAAAUGUGGAUAGGUCUUUGGACGAGUGCACGCUUGCAUUUAUGGAUAGUCUCUUUGGUUUUCGAGAUAUGGAUAUGGAUAGUCUCUUUGAUAUCCGAACGUUUUCAAAUUAAAUCUGAGAUGAUUAAUAAUCAUACUCAAACAUUAUAAAUAAGACCUCACAAUUUGCAAGAUAACCACCACUCCGAGUUCAUCAUCGAAAAAAAUGGCUCCAAGUUGCAGGAGAACCAUUCGUGUAUUUUUCUAUGGCGGUACCGAUUGAGGAGGCGGAAGACAGAAUGUUGAGGAAGAUCAGGCACUAACAGUCACGCCUGCAAAAAAAGAAGAAGACAACAGAUGGUUAAACAACGGAGAAGAAUAAUGGAAAGAGGCCAAACAUAAUGGACUUUUCUCUCCCAAUUCCUUUGUGAACCAAGAUUUCCAGAUGCAAGAGGAAGGCAAGAUCAUAUAUAUGCAAGGAUUCUGAAUUUGAGAUUCCAAUAGAAUUGGAAUCCCUUCUCAUAAGACUAUGGUGUUCAAAGUUAUGUAAAGAUGGAACAUUUAAGAAACCAAUCUACCAAUUCCAGUCUUGAAGGUAGCUAAUGAUGAUGAAUUGGUUUCCACCUACUGUGCCUCAUCCAAAUGAUGAGCAAGAUCAGUUUUCAAGUAUCAUUGAUGAAGAAGAGAAUGAUGAGGAAUCUGAUUGUACUGAAUUUGGAGAUGAAGCCAGCAGUCCAGGUGUGGCACCAUGUCUAUGGGUUACAAGUUAUGAUACACCCCAACAAAUUGAAUCAGGUUCUACCAAGAGCUGUCUGCUGGAUCAAUUCUCAUCCAGUAAAGGUUUCAUGAACGCUAAGGCUGUGAUACUUAAACAAGAAAAGUAAUGCUGUGUUGUUUCUAACGUUUGGUACUCUUAUGGACUUUUUAGUGCAACAAUGUUAUGGCGGGUGAUGUUGUUGAAUUAA